rnacentral:pre_miRNA from 1 species
UACAUACUCCCUCCGUCCCAAAAUUCUUGUCUUAAAUUUGUCUAGAUACGGAUGUAUCUAAUACUAGAACGUGACUUGAUACAUCGGUAUCUAGACAAAUCUAAGACAAGAAUUUUGGGACGGAGAGAGUACUAA